UGAUUAAAACAUUUUUAGAAAUAACGACGAAAUCAAUGAGAACUAUAACAAACUUUUAUGAAAUUUUUCAACGAUCAGCUUUAACUAUCCUCGGUAUAUCAACUUUGAUAUCAAUACGCGAGUUGUUCUUUAUAUUUUAAUUAUAAUAUUAAUUUGAACGAUUUGAAGAAGUACUAAUAAACUCUCUAGGCUCUCGAUUUACAAGGAUUUUUCUACGGAAUGUCAUUAUUUCCUCUUUAUUGUAAUUAUUUCUUAUAACAAAACUAUUGUUUAUUAAUUAAUUAAUAAAAUUAUGAGUGGAACCCAA